CUUGUUUUAAAAGGUGAGCAACUUUAAAAGGUGCUUAGCUUUGGUCAUCAGUAAAAUACAAAUUUAAACAACAAUGUAAUUUUUUACACACCUGAUAAGAUGGCUAACAUAGAAAAUUACAGCAAUACAAAGGUAAUUGAAGAUGUGGAGCCAUUGGAAUUUCAUAUGGUGUUAGUGGAAGUGUAAAUUAUUGCAACCACUUUUGAAAACUGGCAAUACCUACUAAAGCUGAACAUGCAUAUUUCCUACAACUCUAUGACCUAUGCAUCUAAAACCUAGUAUAAGACUAUUUCAUAGCAUCACUGUUGGUAAUAGUCCACAUUAAAAACACCUCAAUUCCCAUCAACCAUAGAUAAAAGUAUGGCAUACACAUACAAUGGAGUACUAUAUAGCAUUAAACUAACAUAAAAAUUUCAAAUCUCACACAGAAAAGGAAGUUCAAAGCAGUUACUUUUAAAUGUUAAAGUCUUGAGUCCAAUGUUGAAUUUUAUUUUUGGUGAAAAGUUGGAUUUGACAUACUCUUAUAACCUAAAAUCAUCAAGCACUUUCUAUUGUCAUAUAUGUUAUACAUUGGGGAUAGUGUAAAGGGGAAUAAUUUUGGAGAAAAAUGCUCAAUACCUAUUUCUGAUAAAUGUUUUGUUUAAGUGUUAUACACAAGUCCAUGGAGAAAAUCAUGUUUCAUAAUAAAAUUAUCUUCUUCUUGUUAACAAAAGUUUAUUAGAUACAUGUUACUGAAUGUAAAUGGGCUAAAUGCCACAAUUAAAAGGCACAGAGUAGCAAGCUGGAUAAAAAACCAAUACCCAAUUGUAUGCUGUCUUCCAAAGACCCAUCUCACAUGCAAUGACACCUAUAGGCUUAAAAUAAAGAGAUGAAGGAAAAUCUCCAAACAAAUGGAGAACAGAAAAAAACAGGGGUCACAAUCCUAAUUUCAGAAAAAACAGGCUUUAAGCCAACGGAGAUCAAAAAGGAUACAAAAGGGCAUUACGUAAUGGUAAAGGGUUCAAUUCAACUGGAAGAUCUAACUAUCCUAAAUAUAUGUGCACCCAACAUAGGAACAUCCAGAUUCAUAAAGCAAUUUCUUAGAGACCUUCAAAGAGACUUAGACUCCCACACAAUACUAGUGGGAGACUUCAACACCCCACUGACUAGACAGAUCAUCAAGGCAGAAAAUUAAGAAAGACAUUCAGGACCUUAACUCAGCACUGGAUCAAAUGGACCUGAUAGACACCUAUAAAACUCUCCACUCCAAAACAACAGAAUAUACAUUCUUCAUUCAUCAAUAUACAUUCAUCACCACAUGGCACAUACUCUAAAACUGACCACACAACCAGACAUAGAACAAUCCUCAGCAAAUAAAAAAGAACUAAUAUACCAACCAUUCUUUUGGACCACAGUGCAAUAAUAUUAGAAAUCAAGACUAAGAAAAUUGCUCAAAACGAUACAAUUACAUGGAAAUUAAAAACCUGCUCCUGAAUGACUUUUGGAUAAAUAAUGAAAUUAAGGCAGAAAUUAAGAAGUUCCCUGAAACUAAUGAGAACAAAGAUAAAACAUACCAGAAUCUCUGGGACACAGCUAAGACAGUGGUAAGAGGGAAAUUUGUAGCACUAAAUGCCCACACCUGAAAGUUAGAAAGAUCUCAAUUUAACAACCUAACAUCACAAAUAAAAGAACUAGAGAACCAACAGCAAACCAAUCCCAAAGUUAGCAGGAGAAAAGAAAUAACCAAAAUCAGAGCUGAACUGAAGGAGAUUAAGAUGUGAAAAACCAUUCAAAAGAUCAAUAAAUUCAGGAGUUGGUGUUUGAAUAAGAUAAUAAAAUAGGCCACUAGCUAGACUAAUAAAAAAGAAAAGAGUUAAAAUCCAAAUAAACACAAUUAGAAAUGACAAAGGGUAUAUUAUCACUGACCACACAGAAAUAUAACUGUCAGAGACUACUAUUUUCCAAAAAUGUAAAAUGUAUAGCAUUUGUAUAACAGCUCAAAAGUGUAAGGCAAGUUAAAUUCUGUUUCAGCUGUUUAAAAUUGCAUAUUAAGUUGCUUUACUGUGAUUCCAAGCACCUUGACAUGAGAAAUGGUACUAUGACUUUCGUAUAUUUCUACACACUUGUAGUGAGCCUUAAGCCUAGUUUGAGAGAUAUGCUUUAAAAUAGCCAAUAAGAUUACAACUUAGUCAAAUAAGUUGUGAAGACUUUAUCUCUUACAUGCUUCUUAUUUAUAGAUUUUUUGUGCUAUUAUUUAACAAAUAGAUUAUGAACUAGAUGCUGAAAAGGAAGUUAUGCAAUUUCUGUUCAAUCUGUUUUUUAAAAAAACUGUCUAGCAAUUAAAUGAUCUGAGUGAAUUGGAGUUUAUGAUUCUAAUUUUACUUUUCUGUGUUGUCUCCUGAUUUUUUUGAGAAGCCAACUGAACGGUUUGAUAGUAGUUUAUAUUAUUGUGUAGGUAGUAUAUUCUAGGAGAUGUUUAGAAAUUUAAAACUCAUUAUAUCUAGUUUAAUUCCUAAUAUCUCCACGAAAUAGCUAAUGGGAUUUGAAUAAUGGCCUGUAUAAAUCAUACAUUUAUGCUUUAAUUAUUGCAUUACUUUAAUUCAUUCAUUUGUUCUUUUAGCCAUUAUAUAUUAUUUUCCCAUUAUGUGUCUAGCAUGGCUGUAGAUACUGAGAUUGCAGUGGUGAAUAAGCCAAUCAAGGCAUUGACUCUCCCCAGUUUCCAGCCUGGUAGAGGGCAAAAAUAUCAAGUAAAUGAGUAAGUAAGUAAACAGAUAACAGAUGGCAAUAAAUGUAUGAAGAAGAUUAAAAGGUGAUAUGAUAUAGAUAAGGACAUAUAGCUAAGAGGAGCUCUUGUUUUAACUGAGAUCUGAAUGAUAGUAAUUAACUAGCCAUAACAAGAUAAGAAGAAGCCCCUUUUCAGGCAGAAAACACAGCUAGUGUAAAAAGCCAAAGACGAAAAUCAGUUUAUCCUGUUCCAGGGAAACGAGAAGUUGAAUGUGCUUGAAAUGAGUGGGUAAUGUGAAGCAUAAGGCAAGAUAAGUUAAGGAGGCAGGCAGAAUUAAAUGAUUUAAGACUUUAUAAGCUAGGGAAAGAAUUCAUAUCUUAAGCGUAAUGGAAAACUACUAGAGUUUUUAAAAAUGUCUUUUAUGUAAACAGUGAAUUGUUCACGGUAAAAGUAAAGGCUGAGAGUUCAGCUAGGGUGUCCCUGUAGCGAUUCUGAUGAGAGAUAACAUUAGGUAAACAUAGAAGGUAAUGCAGAUGGAGAGAAGCAGAUAGUUUGGGAUUAUGUUUUUGAGGCAGAGUUGAAAAGGCUUUCAGACUGAUUAGAUGUGGGUAAGAGAGAAAAAUAAGAAAGAGAAUUUAUCUGCUUAAACAGCUUAUUGAAUGAUAGCACCAUGUAUUAAGAUGCAGAUCAGAGGAAAAAUUAGUUUUGGGGUGUUAUGACCACUUCCUAUUCAUCCCAUUGGUGAAGGAGGAAUCUCGUGCCCAAAAUUAUAGGAGAUGUUCAAGCACACAACCCCUGACACUGGACAGAUGAGAUCAUCCAGCCACAACACACUGCAUGCUGUGAAGGGCCACACAGGUGUUGCACUCAGGAGCUGAGUGAACUGGGCUGUGGGAGGCAGGCUUUGUUAGUAAUGGGAGGGUGAGAUGUCCCCUGGUUCCUGCAGAAGGAUUGGAUUGCUUUGCUUGAGUAAUUGUAUGGGUUGGCCGGGAGAUUAAACCUGUUAGGUUGAGGACAGGGUAGAAUGCAACAGCUGACGGAAGAACUAGCUGGGCAGAGAACAUUUCCUACUGAGUAGGGGCAUAUCUGGUGACAGCAAGAGAACUCACAGAUAGGCCUUUCGGGCCCUGUAAAGUUAAAAAUGUCAAGGCAGCACUUGAAAGUUUAGGUCUUACCCUACGUCGGGGAAAUUAAGGUCCCUUUGGCCAUGUUACAUUUGAGAUGACUGUAAAGACUGCAUCGAAGUGGAGACAUCAUGUUGUAUAUGUAAGUCUGAAACUGUGAGACAUCAGAAUUGGAGGUAAAGAUUUAGGCGAUAAGGACAUUUAACAUCAUGGGACUGAGUAGAAGAAUGUGUAGAUAGAGAAGAGAAAAGGUUGAGCUUUAGAUGCGUUUCAACAUUGAGAGUUGGAGCAGAGGAAAGGGAGCAUCAAGGAGACUUGGAAGAGUAGCUAUUGAGGUAGGAAGAAAACCAGGAAGGCGAAGUGUUAUGAGCUGAGAGAAGCAUUCCAAGAAGGAAGUGAUUAUUUCUGACAAAUGCUGCUGAGUUGUCAUAGAAGAUGAAAACAUUUACUUCAGACUGUUUACUACUGUUCGAUUCUAUUUUUCCUUUGAUUUUCUCUUCUCAGUCAUAAGUGGAAAUGGAAGGGAUUCAUUCAAAGGGAGCUCAAGGUUCCACAAG
rnacentral:lncRNA from 1 species